CUGCUAAAUUUGUUAGAAUUGAAAAUGAGAUCUUUACGCGCGGUGGGCAAGCUGGCGACUAAGAGGAGUGCAGACGCUGCCUGUGACCGUGUGGCGCGUCUCUGUGGGGCAAGGAACUGCAAGAUAGCCAGAAUGGCUGAAAAUGGUGAUAAUGAAAAAAUGGCUGCUCUGGAGGCCAAAAUCUGUCAUCAAAUUGAGUAUUAUUUUGGAGACUUCAAUUUGCCACGGGACAAAUUUUUAAAGGAACAGAUCAAACUGGAUGAAGGCUGGGUUCCUUUGGAGAUAAUGAUAAAGUUUAAUAGGUUAAACCGUUUAACGACAGACUUCAAUGUAAUAGUAGAGGCCCUGAGCAAAUCAAAGGCAGAACUCAUGGAAAUAAGUGAAGAUAAAACUAAAAUUAGAAGAUCUCCCAGCACACCCCUCCCUGAAGUGACUGAUGAGUAUAAAAAUGAUGUAAAAAAACAGAUCUGUUUAUAUUAAAGGCUUCCCAACUGAUGCAGCUCUUGAUGACAUAAAAGAAUGGUUGGAAGAUAAAGGUCAAGUACGAAAUAUUCAGAUGAGAAGAACGUUGCACAAAGCAUUUAAGGGUUCAAUAUUUGCUGUAUUUGAUAGUAUUGAAUCAGCUAAAAAGUUUGUCGAGACCCCUGGCCAGAAGUACAAAGACACAGACCUGCUAAUACUUUUCAAGGAAGAUUACUUCACCAAAAAAAAUGAAGAAAGAAAGCAAAAUAAAAUGGAAGCUAAAUUACGAGCUAAACAAGAGCAAGAAGAAAAACAAAAGCUAGCAGAAAGUGCUGAAAUGAAAUCUCUAGAAGAAAAGAUUGGCUGCUUGCUGAAAUUUUCAGGAGACUUAGAUGAUCAGACGUGUAGAGAAGAUUUGCACACCCUUUUCUCAAAUCAUGGUGAAAUAAAAUGGAUACACUUUGUCAGAGGAGCCAAGGAGGGAAUAAUUCUAUUUAAAGAAAAAGCUAAGGAAGCACUGGAUAAAGCAAAAGAGGCCAAUAAUGGUAACCUACAGCUAAGGAACAAAGAAGUCACCUGGGAAGUAUUAGAAGGAGAUGUGGAAAAAGCAGCACUGAAAAAAAUAAUAGAAGAUCAACAAGAAUCUCUAAACAAAUGGAAGUCAAAAGGUCGCAGAUUUAAAGGAAAAGGAAAGGGAAAUAAAGCUGCCCAGGCUGGGUCUGCUAAAGGAAGAGUACAGUUUCAGGGCAAGAAACCUAAAUUUGAUAGUGAUGAUGAACGUGAUGCAAAUGGUGCAUCUGGAGCAGUAAAAAGAGCACGAGAAGAAAGCAAUGAAGAAGAGCCUCCAUCAAAACAACAGAAAACAGAAAAUGGUGCCGAAGACCAGUAGUUUAAUAAACAAAUUUUUUAUUCAUUUUAAUUAGAUUUUAAGCUGCUUUUGUCUUUGGAGGCUGUUAUAAAGAAAACCAAAUUAAAUCCACUUCGAUGUCUACCUGUAAGAAAGGAAGAUUUUUUGUUGUUGUUGUUGUUGAACUUAUCUUCUGUUAUCGAAAUGAGUUUUUUAAUGUGCAGUUCUGUUUGUGUUCUUUCGGAUUAUUCAAAUAUCUAAAGAAACAUUCUUCCAUUAAGUUGCCUUUGUAAUAUGAAUGCAUUAGUACAAAGUAAUAAAAUGUAUACUGCAUAAAAAAAA